rnacentral:lncRNA from 1 species
CUGACUUGGUACAGGCGUGAUUUGGCCACUGGAACCGCCUUAAUGUGCAGUUCAUUUAUGUAACCCCACAGGCUAGACCACCUGGAGCUCUUAUGCGACCUUAUGGACUCAGGCCCAGGUGGGCUAGCUGGCUGGGAAAGGAGGCACUCAGAGGUCAAGACCAAAUGACUUCAGACAUCAUCCCCAGUGGUGGCAAAAUGAAAACACAACACUGGAAGAUUGUAUAAAAAAUAAAGCCUACUAUGGGAAAAAACGGAACAUUAGGUAUAGCAUGUGUCUCCUUCCAUAGCUGAGAAUGACCUAAAUGCCUGACAC